rnacentral:rRNA from 1 species
GAUGAACGCUGGCUACAGGCUUAACACAUGCAAGUCGAGGGGAAACGACGGGGAAGCUUGCUUCCCCGGGCGUCGACCGGCGCACGGGUGAGUAACGCGUAUCCAACCUGCCUCUGACUGAGGGAUAACCCGUCGAAAGUCGGCCUAAUACCUCAUGGUAUCGUCUGCGGGCAUCCAACGACGAUUAAAGAUUUCAUCGGUCAGGGAUGGGGAUGCGUCUGAUUAGCUUGUUGGCGGGGUAACGGCCCACCAAGGCUACGAUCAGUAGGGGUUCUGAGAGGAAGGUCCCCCACAUUGGAACUGAGACACGGUCCAAACGCCUACGGGAGGCAGCAGUGAGGAAUAUUGGUCAAUGGGCGAGAGCCUGAACCAGCCAAGUAGCGUGCAGGAAGACGGCCCUAUGGGUUGUAAACUGCUUUUAUGCGGGGAUAAAGUGAGGGACGUGUCCCUCAUUGCAGGUACCGCAUGAAUAAGGACCGGCUAAUUCCGUG